GGAUCUAUAGCUUAACGGAAAAAGCAUCUAGCUACGGACUAGAAGAUUGUGGGUUCAAAUCCCAUUAGGUCUA
rfam:Methanobrevibacter ruminantium M1, complete genome.